UACAGAGGUCCCAAGCGUUGUUCGGAUUCAUUGGGCGUAAGGGUGCGUAGGUGGCGUCGUAAGUCGGGUGUGAAAUCUCGGGGCUUAACUCCGAAACUGCAUUCGAUACUGCGGUGCUUGAGGACUGGAGAGGAGACUGGAAUUUACGGUGUAGCAGUGAAAUGCGUAGAGAUCGUAAGGAAGACCAGUGGCGAAGGCGGGUCUCUGGACAGUUCCUGACACUGAGGCACGAAGGCCAGGGGAGCAAACGGG
rnacentral:rRNA from 1 species